GGCAAAUAACACAAUGGACAUUCGACACACUCCCGAAGCUUCCCCCGAAGCGACUCGGCGAGCGCCCGAACAGGGUGACCUCGACACAUAACACACCGCUCGGAAAUACGCGAUUAUGUUGAGACGAGAGAGACAACAAAUCGGAAAUCAUUUACCAGAAUACGUACCGAAAAAACCUUUCGAGACACUGAAUUAUCGGGGUUGCCAGCGCUAUUAUUUAACAGUUUUCAAUUGGCGCUAAGACCGAUGCUUCUAAGUCUUGACAACCCUGAAAACCCGCUUUCUGUAAUAUCCAUCGAGUGAUUCCCUGAAACCAAAACUUCAGCUUUGCUUUUUUGCUUGGCUUGCGAUAUUAUUGCGAUUUUUGCAAAUCACUAUUGAAUUGGUAUUUCGAAAAUAAACUACAUUAUUAUUGUUUAGUGUUGUGUACCAUUUGUUUUUUAAGCGUUUGUAGUGCUUUUAGUGCCAAAAUACUUUAGAAGUCUCCAUUAUAUUCAAGAUUCAAGGAUACCUCGACCGCCUAGGUACUUUCAACUUGUUUAUGUUUAUUUUAUUGGUAGAUAUAGGUGUAAUUUCAGGGUAAUAAUGGACCAUAGGAGAUAUCAGAGAUCAGGAGGAAUUUACCACGAUGGGUUUUUGUACAUAACAAGAUCCACGAAGCACAACAUCAGGUAUUUAAUCUGUAGCAAGUACCGACGAUUGGGUUGUAUUGCAUCAGGGAAAAUCCACUUAGAAGAGGGAAAUGUCUUCAUUCCUAUAAAGGUUGAACAUAAUCAUCCUAGAGACGACAACAGAGUUGAAGCAAUGGAUUUUAGAAUUCAG